AUACCAUGGUGAGGGCACUUCCUUUGCAGUUUCUGAAAUUCCUCUCAUGCCUCGUAGAACGAAUCACCAUCAUUUUGAAUGAAGUUUUGAAUCUCUCUCCUUAGUCU